rnacentral:rRNA from 1 species
GACGAACGCUGGCGGCGUGCUUAACACAUGCAAGUCGAACGAUGAGGCGGUGCUUGCACCGCGGAUUAGUGGCGAACGGGUGAGUAACACGUGAGUAACCUGCCUUUGGCUCUGGGAUAAGCGCUGGAAACGGUGUCUAAUACUGGAUAUGACCUGUCCUCGCAUGGGGGUGGGUGGAAAGCUUUUGCGGCUUUAGAUGGACUCGCGGCCUAUCAGCUUGUUGGUGAGGUAGUGGCUCACCAAGGCGACGACGGGUAGCCGGCCUGAGAGGGUGACCGGCCACACUGGGACUGAGACACGGCCCAGACUCCUACGGGAGGCAGCAGUGGGGAAUAUUGCACAAUGGGCGAAAGCCUGAUGCAGCAACGCCGCGUGGGGGAUGACGGCCUUCGGGUUGUAAACCUCUUUUGGUAGGGAAGAAGCCUUCGGGUGACGGUACCUGCAGAAAAAGGACCGGCUAACUACGUGCCAGCCGCCGCCGUAACAC